rnacentral:piRNA from 1 species
UCCUUUUGCAGUCCUGGAAUGGAAGCCA